AACAUUAAGGUUUUUCAAAUUCAAAACAUUAAGGUUUUUCAAUUUAUUUAACUUAAACAGUGACUAACAAAAUGUAUCUUAGUUGAAAAUUCUACUUUCAUAUUAUAUUAUUUUCACACUUUUUAUAUCAUAUACUUUAUGUGAAAUUGAGUUGUAAUAUUUAUAUAUAUAUAUAUAUAUAUAUGUGUGUGUGUGUGUGUGUGUGUGUGUGUGUGUGUGUAUACAUAUAUAUAUAUGUGUGUAUAUAUAUAUAUAUAUAUAUAUAUAUAUAUAUAUAUAUAUAUAUAUAUAUACACAGCGGGUAAAAUAAGUAUUGAACACGUCACCAUUUUUCUCAGUAAAGAUAUAUUUCUAAAGGUGUUGUUGACAUGAAAUUUUCACCAGAUGUUGGUAACAACCCAAGUAAUCCAUAAAUAAAACAAAACAAAUAAGUUCAGAAAUUAAGUAAUGUGUAAUAAAAUGGAAUGUCACAAGGAAAAAGUAUUAAACUACUGAAAUUUAUUUAAUACUUCGUACAAAAGCCUUUGUUGGUAAUGACAGCUUCCAGACCCCUCCUGUAUGGAGAAACUAGUCGCAUGUAUUGCUCAGGUGUGAUCUGGUCCAUUCUUCCAGACAGUCUUCGAAUCUUGAUGGUUCUGUGGGCCUCUUAUAAGAACUCUGAUCUUUAGUUCUUAUUUUCUAUUGGAUUCAAGUCAGGUUAUUGGCUGGGCCAUUCUAGCAGUUUUAUUUUCUUUCUAUGAAUCAAAUUGAGAGUUUCCUUGGCCAUGUUUGGGAUCAUUAUCUUGCUUAAAUGUCCGCCCUUGUUUCAGCUUCAUCAUCCUGGUACUGUAGGUGUUGGGACUGAACCAGCUAAUAUUAAUUUCUACUGACAAGGGGAGGAUUGUUUUCUAAUUACAGAUAGAUUUCUUGGCUUUCCAUGCCUUUUUGCACCUCCCUUUCUUCAUGUGUUCAAUACUUUUUCCAUGUGUCAUUCCAUUUUAUUACACAUUUGUGGCAGGGGGGGCGUGGUUUAGCGAAGUCUGCAGCGGGAGAGAGAAUCAGGAGACGAUCGGUAAGUGAGUGGUUUGGGCAGAGACGAGCAACACCUGUCUCUUGUUUCAGUAAUUGGCGUGGAGAGAGUAUAAAACGCCAGGAGAGACAGAAGCAAGACAGAGAGAGAGACGGACUGCUGACGUGACCCCAAACCGGAAGAAGUCACCCGGAAGUGUUAUGUGAUCGUGUCGUUGUUGAUGCUAGAGUAAAAGUCACCGUUGGUGCAAAGUUUAUUUGUGUUAUAAUAAAAGAUACGUCAGCAGUCCAGCCGACCCCUUUGUCCUCUUCCUUUCCUCCCACGAACUUACUACAACAUUUAUUACACAACUUAAUUUCUGAACUUAUUUGUUUUGUUGUCUUUUUAUGUAUGCAUUACUUGGGUUGUUACCAACAUCUGGUGAAAAUUUCAUGUCAACAGCACCUUUCGAAAUACUUAUACUUAUUUUACCCACUGUAUAUUGUCACAAGUUAAAAUUAUGUGCACUGAACAAAAUUAUAAAUGCCACACUUUUGUUUUUGCCCCCAUUUUUCAUGAGCUGAAGUCAAAGAUCUAAGACUUUUUCUAUGUACACAAAAGGCCUAUUUAUCUAAAAUAUUGUUCACAAAUCUGUCUAAAUCUGUGUUAGUGAGCACUUCUCCUUUGCCAAGAUAAUCCAUCUACCUCAAGAUGCUGAUUAGACACCAUGAUUAUUGUACAAGUGUGCCUUAUGCUGGCCACAAUAAAAGGCCACUCUAAAAUGGGCAGUUUUACUGUAUUGGGGGGUCCGAAAACCAGCCAGUAUCUGGUGUGACCACCAUUUGUCUCACACAGUGCAACACAUCUCCUUGGCAUAGAGUUGAUCAGGUUGUUGAUUGUGGCCUGUGGAAUGUUAGUCCACUCCUCUUCAAUGGCUGUGCGAAGUUGCUGGAUAUUGGCAGGAACUGGAACACACUGUUGUAUACGCCAAGCCAGAGCAUCCCAAACAUGCUCAAUGGGUGACAUGUCCGGUGAGUAUACUGGCCAUGCAAGAACUGGGAUGUUUUCAGCUUCCAGGAAAUAUGUACAGAUCCUUGCAACAGGCGGCCGUGUAUUAUCAUGAUGCAACAUGAGGUGAUGGUCGUGGAUGAAUGGCACAACAAUGCGCCUCAGGAUCUCGUCACGGUAUCUCUGUGCAUUCAAAAUGUCAUCAAUAAAAUCCACUUGUGUUCGUUGUCCAUAACAUACGCCUGCCCAUACCAUAACCCCACCGCAACCAUGGGCCACUCGGUCCACAACGUUGACAUCAGCAAACCGCUCACCCACACGAUGCCAUACACGCUGUCUGCCAUCUGCCCUGUACAGUGAAAACCGGGAUUCAUCCGUGAAGAGAGCACCUCUCCAAAGUGCCAGACACCAUCGAAUGUGAGCAUUU
ensembl:lncRNA